UACGUAGGGUGCGAGCGUUGUCCGGAAUUAUUGGGCGUAAAGAGCUUGUAGGCGGUUUGUCGCGUCUGCCGUGAAAAUUCGAGGCUCAACCUCGAACUUGCGGUGGGUACGGGCAGACUAGAGUGUGGUAGGGGAGACUGGAAUUCCUGGUGUAGCGGUGAAAUGCGCAGAUAUCAGGAGGAACACCGGUGGCGAAGGCAGGUCUCUGGGCAUUAACUGACGCUCAGGCACGAAAGCGUGGGGAGCAAACAGG
rnacentral:rRNA from 1 species